UUUGAGGAUUUUUUCUUAAGUUUCCGUCUCUCUUCUUCUGGGUUUACAUAGUUCUGUGAUCAAUGCCAAAUAACGCACAGAGAUAAUUUCUCUUAUUGUUUUGUUGAUUAAAGAAGAAAUUAUGAGUAAUAGAAGACUAAAGCCUAUUUUCUUAACGUCCCACAUCGACAAGUUAGAGAGCGUUGGUCAUAAGCUUUGUAAUAUAUAAAGGAAGCUGAGCCAAACGUUCACUUCAUACCUUUCUCGGCCUUUUGGCUAAGAUCAAGUGUAGUAUCUGUUCUUAUCAGUUUAAUAUCUGAUAUGUGGGCCAUCGGCCCACACGAUAUUAACUCUAUUUUUUGAGGGAGAAAGCCCACUAAGAUAGCUUGCUAUCUGGGCUUUCAAGAGUCGCCUAUGCGUUGCACUACUGCACAGGCUUGGCUCAACCCGCCAAAUUUAUAGUUGAAGUGUUGAACUUUCAAACUUGUUGAUAAGGGAUAAAAUGUGAAUACAGAAAUUAAUUCGGAUUCUCAAACAGUUAUUAAAGUAUUGUGAGAUUUGAUAAGUAAAUC